GACGGUAGAGGCCUCCCUUCCGGGGCGGCGGCGGCGGCGCGGGCGCUCCCCGGCGCGAGCCCACGCGUCCUUCCCCUCGAGGUCCCUGCGCGGCGCGGCCCAGCCCGGCGUCUGUUCCUCCUUUCCGUCACCUGCUGCCCACCUGCCUCACUGAAGCACCCCAGGUAAGUUGGCGGGUGAUGUGUUCAGAAAGCAGGAACGCGCCACCCUGCUGAAUUGCUCGCAGGCCUCCGGGGCAUGGGGACUGCUUGUCUACUUUAAAAUAAAAGUCGCCUUCCUCCUUGGGAGAGCCUCCUCUCCUGUAAAAAACGGUGACCUCGGAGGGCUGGCAUUCCAAAGCCGUGCCAGAGGCGCCCCAGGGUUGCCGUCCCGCCAGAAACCUCGCAGGGAGUGUUCUUGGUGGUCGGAUCCCAUCUGUAAGGGUUCCAGUCCAAAGAUGCAACCAGGCCUCCACCGCGUCUCACCACGCACGUACAUUCACACGCGUGUUCUCUGCACUCAGCACCCGAGAGCGCCCCUCCCUCGUUCUCCAGGUCCGGACACUCCUAGUUCUUGGUAACAUUUGGAAGCUUCUCCUCCAGGAUCUCUGUCCAGAGGUUGCACCUGCCUGCCAGGAACCUCCACUUCUGCUUUGUGUCCAGGGUUCAUAGAGGCCCUCCCGUUCUGCAGAGGACUGACCUGCGUCUCAGGACACCUGAAUCUAAACAAUGCCUUCAGCCUUUGAGCUCUCUAGAAAAUAGGCAUAGAGCUGUUUAGACCUGUUUUCGACAAGUCCAGAAUUGAGAAUGAGAAGUCGGGGUGGAGGGUGGUCGGUCUGCACGUUGAGAACAGGACCAGUUAGCAGAUGAACUUUAAGCUGGCCCUUGAUGCCUUACGGUUAUAUAUGGUCAUUGACUUUUUCUUCUCCUUGGGAUAAUGGGAGGAAAAACUCUGUCUUUUCUGUAUAUCUUACUGCCCACCUCAUAUUCCCGAGAAUUUUUUGCUCUUUCCAGAUGCCUCCGUCUCUCACGGGAGCAGGAGUGUGUGGGUGUUAGCGUCUAAGUGAGAAACCUGGAACUCAGGCUGAUCUCUCUUAGCAUCUUAAACCCAAACUUGUGUUAAUUUCCUGGCCCGCAUGAGGUUGGGAACAACAGACAGGACAGUGUCAAAAAACAGCUGACCCUGAACCUGGGGCCAGAGGAAGCUGGAAAGGCCACUGUCAAAAGAUUUUCUUUUAAAAUUUCCCCUUAAAUUUAGAAACCGUCUUACAGGCCGGGUUGCAGGUGGACGGACAGGCAUAGACAGUGUAAGACUGAGAAACGAUCACACCUCGCCUGAUCUGAAGCCAGGUUCACUGCAGGAGUGCACUUCAGACUCAAAGAAAGGAGGUCACACCUGCGGUUUCCACAUUGCAUUAUGAUACACUGCCGGCCUUGUCUUCCGUGAGUGUGCUCGCCGCAAGGACAUUUUGGCAUGUGUUGUGUACGUAUAAGGCAUGAUUUGCCCUCAACUGAGAAAGCUGUAUUUCCCGAUUCUAUACAUUUUAGUUUGAAACCCAUUUUGCAUUCAGUUCCUGUGUUGUUUUCAUAAAAUGAAAGGAAGUUAAAAAAAAAAAAUCUGCAGUUGGGACAUUUCCCACUCCAGGCUCCUGUGCCCAGGGGUCCUGCCUAACCCACGAAACUGCCAGGAACACGGCUGUCCGCCCGGGAGCAGGUGACAUCAGCAGAGCUCGGCUUUGGGGCUCAUGUUGGCUGAGGCCCUGAACCAUCGGACUUCAGGCGUCCAGGGUUUUCCUGAAGCUGGGUGGGAGGGCCCUUGGCGGCCCAUAGCCCUCGACUGCUUCAAAGCCCCAGACCUCCUACAGGUGCACAUCCAUGGCAGAGAUGGAACUCUUGGCAACUACAGGGCAAGGAUUAAAACAUUUUAAAACAAACACACCAUGUUUGGGGGAAAGUUACCUCCGUGGACAAUGCUGUCUCUUGCCCUGCACAGCGUCACUCAGUUUGGGCUUAUUUCACUGAUAAUGUACUUAAUUCCACAUAAACUACUAGGUGUCUGUAUGUAACAAUCUUUUUUUUUUUUUGUUAACCAGUUUUAUGAAAACAAGAGCCUUUCCCACCUCAGAAGAAAGUAUUGACCCUAAAAGUCUAUUUCAGAUAUUUGAAAACACACGGGCAUAUUCUGCCUCAUGAUUGCACGAUGCAGUAGUGUGUCGUGGUGAUUGUCUUGUAGCUGCCUCUUAAUGUGACAGGUGUGCUUCAUGCAGUAUGCUAUGGGGAAAGAAAUGAAGCUUUUUAGGAUGAGCUUAAGGAAAUGACUAUUUUUUUAAGGAAAAUAAACU
rnacentral:lncRNA from 1 species